ACAAACAGUCGUGUUAUCUGUCCCAACACACACUAUCCUUCAGCAGCCACACUGCUAGGAGCCGGUUCUACUUUGAGUCAUACCGUCCCUCUCUCUCUAGAUAUACUGUAAAAGGGAUUUUAGGUACAGACCAAAUUGUAGAAAUUCAUUCAUUUUGAUAAGGUGCAAAAUCAACAUUUUUAACAGCUGUAAAAUUGUCAAGGAGGUGGUUAGGCUCAAUCUGUUUUAUGACAGAUAAAGGAGCGCUGCAUCCCAAACAACACGUGGGUAAAUGGAAUCACAUCUAAAUGGAUUAUUAUAUGGCAUAUGGCCCUAGAAAGAUGGGUGUUCCAACAUAUUGUUUUUUAUGGUGGAAUCUCAUUUAGUCGGAAACACCAGAAUAACUUGAGUGUUUACUAGUGUGUGUGUUUAUAGGGAAACCUGUGGGGUUUGUGUGUUUAUAGGGAAACCUGUGGGGUGUGUGUGUUUAUAGGUAAACCUGUGGGGUGUGUGUGUUUAUAGGGAAACCUGUGGGGUGUGUGUGUUUAUAGGGAAACCUGUGGGGUGUGUGUGUUUAUAGGGAAACCUGUGGGGUGUGUGUGUUUAUAGGGAAACCUGUGGGGUUUGUGUGUUUAUAGGUAAACCUGUGGGGUGUGUGUGUUUAUAGGUAAACCUGUGGGGUGUGUGUGUUUAUAGGGAAACCUGUGGUGUGUGUGUUUAUAGGGAAACCUGUGGGGUUUGUGUGUUUAUAGGUAAACCUGUGGGGUGUGUGUGUUUA